UCCUACUUAUCAUAGGCAGUUUCCUUAGAGUUCCCAGCAUUACCUGAUGGCAACUAAGGACGAGGGUUGCGCUCGUUGCGGGACUUAACCCAACAUCUCACGACACGAGCUGACGACAGCCAUGCAGCACCUGUGUUCCUCCCACCCGAAGUGAAGGACUCCGUCUCUGGAGUCCAUAGAGGACAUGUCAAGGCCUGGUAAGGUUCUUCGCGUUGCCUCGAAUUAAACCACAUGCUCCACCGCUUGUGCGGGUCCCCGUCAAUUUCUUUGAGUUUUAACCUUGCGGCCGUACUCCCCAGGCGGAAUGCUUAAUGCGUUAGCGACGUCACUGAGGGGGAACCCCCCAACAACUAGCAUUCAUCGUUUACAGCGUGGACUAC
rnacentral:misc_RNA from 1 species